rnacentral:rRNA from 1 species
UACGAAGGGGGCUAGCGUUGUUCGGAAUUACUGGGCGUAAAGCGCGUGUAGGCGGGUCUUUAAGUCAGGGGUGAAAUGCCAAGGCUCAACCUUGGAACUGCCUUUGAUACUGGAGACCUUGAGUCCGGGAGAGGUGAGUGGAAUUGCGAGUGUAGAGGUGAAAUUCGUAGAUAUUCGCAAGAACACCAGUGGCGAAGGCGGCUCACUGGCCCGGAACUGACGCUGAGAUGCGAAAGCGUGGGGAGCGAACAGG